CCUACGGGAGGCAGCAGUGAGGAAUAUUGGUCAAUGGCCGGAAGGCUGAACCAGCCAUGCCGCGUGAAGGUCAGUGCCCUAUGGGCGUUAAACUUCUUUUGUACGGGAGCAAUAAUGGUCACGUGUGGCCAGACUAGAGUACCGUACGAAUAAGCAUCGGCUAACUCCGUUCCAGCAGCGGCGGUAAUACGGGGGAUGCAAGCUUUAUCCGGAUUUAUUGGGUUUAAAGGGUGCGUAGGCUGUGAGGUAAGUCAGAGGUGAAAUGCCCCCGCUCAACGGGGUGAAGUGCCAUUGAUACUGCCUUGCUGGAAUGCGGAUGCCGUGGGAGGAAGGUGUGGUGUAGCGGUGAAAUGCAUAGAUAUCACACAGAACACCGAUUGCGAAGGCAUCUCACGAAUCCGCGAUUGACGCUGAUGCACGAAAGCGUGGGUAUCAAACAGGAUUAGAUACCCUGGUAGUC
rnacentral:rRNA from 1 species